rnacentral:rRNA from 1 species
UGGGGAAUAUUGCACAAUGGGCGCAAGCCUGAUGCAGCCAUGCCGCGUGUAUGAAGAAGGCCUUCGGGUUGUAAAGUACUUUCAGCGGGGAGGAAGGGAGUAAAGUUAAUACCUUUGCUCAUUGACGUUACCCGCAGAAGAAGCACCGGCUAACUCCGUGCCAGCAGCCGCGGUAAUACGGAGGGUGCAAGCGUUAAUCGGAAUUACUGGGCGUAAAGCGCACGCAGGCGGUUGGUUAAGUCAGAUGUGAAAUCCCCGGGCUCAACCUGGGAACUGCAUCUGAUACUGGCAAGCUUGAGUCUCGUAGAGGGGGGUAGAAUUCCAGGUGUAGCGGUGAAAUGCGUAGAGAUCUGGAGGAAUACCGGUGGCGAAGGCGGCCCCCUGGACGAAGACUGACGCUCAGGUGCGAAAGCGUGGGGAGCAAACAGG